UCGCCGGUGGAAAACCAAACUAUGUUUUUCUUUAGCAUCUGAGAGUCUUAUGAAAAUAAGUCAAAACCUUUAACAACGGAUCUCUUGGUUCUGGCAUCGAUGAAGAACGCAGCGAAAUGCGAUAAGUAAUGUGAAUUGCAGAAUUCAGUGAAUCAUCGAAUCUUUGAACGCACAUUGCGCCCCCCAGCAUUCUGGAGGGCAUGCCUGUUCGAGCGUCAUUAGUACCACUCAAGACCUAGUCUUGGCGUUGGGAGACUACCCGGGAGCUACCAUGUAGCUGUUACCCUGUAGCUCCUCAAAUUCACCGGCGGAGUGACGGUUCUACCUCUGAGCGCAGUAAUAUAUCUCUCGCUUCUGUAGGUGCCGUGGCCCUCGCCGC
rnacentral:rRNA from 1 species